CCUGAAAUCACAAGCAGGAAGAGAUAGGGACUUA
rnacentral:sRNA from 1 species